AAGAAAUAAUAUAAUCGAGCCCAUGAUGUCUCGAAGAUCUGAACCCUCCAAGUCUAAUCAUCUCGAUAUAUACAAUCUUCAUCGAGCUCCAAACUCAUCGCUUAUUUAGUCUUUGCCUUGCCUUUACAUACACAUGAAGCACAUAUCUGUGAGUUAACAGACUCAGUAAGAAAAUCAUAAUAUAAGAUACAACUUGCCUUUAUAUCUUAGGCGCCUAUACACCUUAUACCGAGUAAUUAUCAUGCGUCCAACGCAUACAAGUCUCGAACGUUCUUGACAAGAGUACAAAUAGUCCAUACCCCCUUGAAUCUCCAUUUAUCUCUGUACCACAUGCACUUAGUACCUCUAACGUAAUAAUGUUAGUAGGGUUUGUUUGAACCUCCUAACCUCUUUACCAUAUGCACUCAUUACCUCUAAUGUACUAGUGUCGGUAUGGUUAGUUCGAGUCACUAUACCACAUGCACUCAGUACCAAUAACGUACUAGUGUUGGUAGAACUAGCUUGAGUCUCUAUACCACAUGCACUUAGUUCCUCUAACGUACUAAUGUUGGUAGAACUAUCUUAUAUUUCAUAAUGCAUGCAUACAACAUGUAUAUAUAUGUGCAUCCUUUAUGCUAAUCUUACCUCACUUCCGUAAUCAGGUAUACCAAACAAUCCGAGUGGAAGUAUUGCUCAAUAAUUCUGGGACUCUAAGUCACAAUAAUGCAAAAUAGGUAGACAUUCACACACCAGGCUGUCCCAUAACCGCACAGACAAGAAGAAUCAAACAUCCAUUCCUUAAUUCUUUUCACCAAAACCAAAGGUAAUUUUCACACAUACAUGUAUACGAGAUAGAUUAAUUAUCUUAAAGUGGCAUAUAUAUUCACAUCUAUUGUACCAUAAGAGUGCGCUCAGAUCCAUUCACAAGAUUCCGUUAAGUAUUUUCCAAUUUCCAUCAACAUAUCUGGGAUAUCAUUAUUUGUUUCUUGAUUCAGGUUUGGAUGUAUUUUGAGUGGUCAAUGGUCAUAAAUUAAGAUGUCCCACUUGAUUGUAUAGUAGUGAAGUUGGUUUCAUAAUUAACUACUCUUUUUUGCAUACAAAUUGCGCUCUUACAAUUCGAAAAAUCCAAAUUGAUCGUAUUUAAUUUAUAUGAAAAUUAUGCUGAUGAGUGAUGCUUACUUAGAUACAAUUGAAAUGAAUGAAAGAUAGGAAUAGUUUAGUUUA